GGGAGCCAUUCUGGACUCCCUGGCCAGCGGACAGAUGGAAGUCUGUUCCAGGUAGUAAACAAGCCCAUAUUUGGUGGAUGGCACGCCCCUAAUCCCUGAUUGGCUGACCAAACCUGCCUGGUGAGGUGCUGUGACCUGUGGUGAUUGGUGGGGGCGUGGUUGUGGCUUGAGUGGGGAAAAAACAAAGUGGAGAUACCCAGAGAGGCUAGGGGGAAUUGGAAGGGGAUUUUGUAAAGAGUAGCUGCCUGAGUAAACUGCUUUAAGAAGAA